GGGCUGCGCUGCGUCGCCGCCUCACGGCGUGUGACGCGGUCAGUCCUUCCUCGUGGGGAAGGCGUCGGCAUUCACUUGUCGGCGUUCGGAUCCACGUCCUUUACUGUGAAAAAAUUAGAGUGUUUAAAGCAGGCGUUCCGCUUGAAUACAUUAGCAUGGAAUAAUGAGAUAGGACUUUGGUGCUAUUUUGUUGGUUGCGUACCAAGGUA
rnacentral:rRNA from 1 species